rnacentral:rRNA from 1 species
ACUCCUACGGGAGGCAGCAGUGGGGAAUAUUGCACAAUGGGCGCAAGCCUGAUGCAGCCAUGCCGCGUGUGUGAAGAAGGUCCUUCGGGUUAGUAAAGCACUUUGCAGUCGUGAGGAAGGUAGUAGUAGUUAAUAGCUGCAUUAUUUGACGUUAGCGAACAGAAGAAGCACCGGCUAACUCCGUGCCAGCAGCCGCGGUAAUACGGAGGGUGCGAGCGUUAAUCGGAAUUACUGGGCGUAAAGCGCAUGCAGGUGGUUUGUUAAGUCAGAUGUGAAAGCCCGGGGCUCAACCUCGGAAUUGCAUUUGAAACUGGCAGGCUAGAGUACUGUAGAGGGGGUAGAAUUGUCAUGGUGUAGCGGUGAAAUGCGUAGAGAUCUGAAGG